GAUCAUGGCUCAGGAUGAACGCUAGCGACAGGCUUAACACAUGCAAGUCGAGGGGCAGCAUGAGGUAGCAAUACCUUGAUGGCGACCGGCGCACGGGUGAGUAACGCGUAUGCAACCUGCCCGAUACCGGGGGUAUAGCCCAUGGAAACGUGGAUUAACACCCCCAUAGUACUUUUAUCCUGCAUGGGAUGUGAGUUAAAUGUUCAAGGUAUCGGAUGGGCAUGCGUCCUA
rnacentral:rRNA from 1 species